GACAGAGGCCCCAAGCGUUAGGCGGAAUCACUGGGCUUAAAGCGUGUGUAGGCGGACGCCUAAGUGUCUUGUGAAAUCCCACGGCUCACCCGUGGAACUGCUGGGCAUACUGGGCGUCUUGGGCCAACUAGGGGCAGCCGGAACAAGCGGUGGAGCGGUGAAAUGCGUAGGUAUCGCUUGGAACGCCGAAGGUGGAAACAGGGCUGCUGGGGUUGUGCCGACGCGUGAGACACGAAAGCCAGGGGAGCAAACAGG
rnacentral:rRNA from 1 species